rnacentral:rRNA from 1 species
CCUACGGGGGGCAGCAGUGAGGAAUAUUGGUCAAUGGACGAGAGUCUGAACCAGCCAAGUAGCGUGAAGGAUGACUGCCCUAUGGGUUGUAAACUUCUUUUAUAUGGGAAUAAAAUGUUCCACGUGUGGGAUUUUGUAUGUACCAUAUGAAUAAGGAUCGGCUAACUCCGUGCCAGCAGCCGCGGUAAUACGGAGGAUCCGAGCGUUAUCCGGAUUUAUUGGGUUUAAAGGGAGCGUAGGUGGAUUGUUAAGUCAGUUGUGAAAGUUUGCGGCUCAACCGUAAAAUUGCAGUUGAAACUGGCAGUCUUGAGUACAGUAGAGGUGGGCGGAAUUCGUGGUGUAGCGGUGAAAUGCUUAGAUAUCACGAAGAACUCCGAUUGCGAAGGCAGUUCACUGGACUGCAACUGACACUGAGGCUCGAAAGUGUGGGUAUCAAACAGGAUUAGAUACCUUAGUAGUC